rnacentral:misc_RNA from 1 species
AAGUCGUAACAAGGUUUCCGUAGGUGAACCUGCGGAAGGAUCAUUAACACGUAUCCAACGUUAAAACCCCCGUGAACCAAUGUCGUGCUCUCGUAGCCCAAGAGGAACAGCAAUCCCUGGUAAAGCAAGGUGUUGCUGCACUAUUUGAUUCAGGGACCUCUGUUAAGAAAGGCUAGUUACGAAUGUUGCGCUAGUUUCAGAGGCUUGGCUUCCCGAAACAGUGAGUGUCUGACAGUGGCACUCGCUGCGGAGUAGCCUGAAAAUACCCUGUGAAUAUUGACCAUUUUACACGCAGGCCCAAAAACCGAACAACUGUUAACAAUGGAUAUCUUGGUUCUC